UACAGAUGAUGGAAGAGUACAAC
rnacentral:siRNA from 1 species